UGCGCGGCGAGCGACGCGAACGCCGCCUACUGCGAGUGAGCGCCGUCACGGCCGGGCGGCGUCUCGCGGUGCUCGGCUCGCCGGUCGCGCAU
rnacentral:tRNA from 1 species